rnacentral:rRNA from 1 species
GGGUUGUGAGGUUAAGCGACUAAGCGUACACGGUGGAUGCCCUGGCAGUCAGAGGCGAUGAAGGACGUGCUAAUCUGCGAUAAGCGUCGGUAAGGUGAUAUGAACCGUUAUAACCGGCGAUUUCCGAAUGGGGAAACCCAGUGUGUUUCGACACACUAUCAUUAACUGAAUCCAUAGGUUAAUGAGGCGAACCGGGGGAACUGAAACAUCUAAGUACCCCGAGGAAAAGAAAUCAACCGAGAUUCCCCCAGUAGCGGCGAGCGAACGGGGAGCAGCCCAGAGCCUGAAUCAGUGUGUGUGUUAGUGGAAGCGUCUGGAAAGGCGCGCGAUACAGGGUGACAGCCCCGUACACAAAAAUGCACAUGCUGUGAGCUCGAUGAGUAGGGCGGGACACGUGGUAUCCUGUCUGAAUAUGGGGGGACCAUCCUCCAAGGCUAAAUACUCCUGACUGACCGAUAGUGAACCAGUACCGUGAGGGAAAGGCGAAAAGAACCCCGGCGAGGGGAGUGAAAAAGAACCUGAAACCGUGUACGUACAAGCAGUGGGAGCACGCUUAGGCGUGUGACUGCGUACCUUUUGUAUAAUGGGUCAGCGACUUAUAUUCUGUAGCAAGGUUAACCGAAUAGGGGAGCCGAAGGGAAACCGAGUCUUAACUGGGCGUUAAGUUGCAGGGUAUAGACCCGAAACCCGGUGAUCUAGCCAUGGGCAGGUUGAAGGUUGGGUAACACUAACUGGAGGACCGAACCGACUAAUGUUGAAAAAUUAGCGGAUGACUUGUGGCUGGGGGUGAAAGGCCAAUCAAACCGGGAGAUAGCUGGUUCUCCCCGAAAGCUAUUUAGGUAGCGCCUCGUGAAUUCAUCUCCGGGGGUAGAGCACUGUUUCGGCAAGGGGGUCAUCCCGACUUACCAACCCGAUGCAAACUGCGAAUACCGGAGAAUGUUAUCACGGGAGACACACGGCGGGUGCUAACGUCCGUCGUGAAGAGGGAAACAACCCAGACCGCCAGCUAAGGUCCCAAAGUCAUGGUUAAGUGGGAAACGAUGUGGGAAGGCCCAGACAGCCAGGAUGUUGGCUUAGAAGCAGCCAUCAUUUAAAGAAAGCGUAAUAGCUCACUGGUCGAGUCGGCCUGCGCGGAAGAUGUAACGGGGCUAAACCAUGCACCGAAGCUGCGGCAGCGACGCUGAUGCGUUGUUGGGUAGGGGAGCGUUCUGUAAGCCUGUGAAGGUGUGCUGUGAGGCAUGCUGGAGGUAUCAGAAGUGCGAAUGCUGACAUAAGUAACGAUAAAGCGGGUGAAAAGCCCGCUCGCCGGAAGACCAAGGGUUCCUGUCCAACGUUAAUCGGGGCAGGGUGAGUCGACCCCUAAGGCGAGGCCGAAAGGCGUAGUCGAUGGGAAACAGGUUAAUAUUCCUGUACUUGGUGUUACUGCGAAGGGGGACGGAGAAGGCUAUGUUGGCCGGGCGACGGUUGUCCCGGUUUAAGCGUGUAGGCUGGUUUUCCAGGCAAAUCCGGAAAAUCAAGGCUGAGGCGUGAUGACGAGGCACUACGGUGCUGAAGCAACAAAUGCCCUGCUUCCAGGAAAAGUCUCUAAGCAUCAGGUAACAUCAAAUCGUACCCCAAACCGACACAGGUGGUCAGGUAGAGAAUACCAAGGCGCUUGAGAGAACUCGGGUGAAGGAACUAGGCAAAAUGGUGCCGUAACUUCGGGAGAAGGCACGCUGAUAUGUAGGUGAAGCGACUUGCUCGUGGAGCUGAAAUCAGUCGAAGAUACCAGCUGGCUGCAACUGUUUAUUAAAAACACAGCACUGUGCAAACACGAAAGUGGACGUAUACGGUGUGACGCCUGCCCGGUGCCGGAAGGUUAAUUGAUGGGGUCAGCGCAAGCGAAGCUCUUGAUCGAAGCCCCGGUAAACGGCGGCCGUAACUAUAACGGUCCUAAGGUAGCGAAAUUCCUUGUCGGGUAAGUUCCGACCUGCACGAAUGGCGUAAUGAUGGCCAGGCUGUCUCCACCCGAGACUCAGUGAAAUUGAACUCGCUGUGAAGAUGCAGUGUACCCGCGGCAAGACGGAAAGACCCCGUGAACCUUUACUAUAGCUUGACACUGAACAUUGAGCCUUGAUGUGUAGGAUAGGUGGGAGGCUUGGAAGUGUGGACGCCAGUCUGCAUGGAGCCGACCUUGAAAUACCACCCUUUAAUGUUUGAUGUUCUAACGUUGACCCGUGAUCCGGGUUGCGGACAGUGUCUGGUGGGUAGUUUGACUGGGGCGGUCUCCUCCUAAAGAGUAACGGAGGAGCACGAAGGUUGGCUAAUCCUGGUCGGACAUCAGGAGGUUAGUGCAAUGGCAUAAGCCAGCUUGACUGCGAGCGUGACGGCGCGAGCAGGUGCGAAAGCAGGUCAUAGUGAUCCGGUGGUUCUGAAUGGAAGGGCCAUCGCUCAACGGAUAAAAGGUACUCCGGGGAUAACAGGCUGAUACCGCCCAAGAGUUCAUAUCGACGGCGGUGUUUGGCACCUCGAUGUCGGCUCAUCACAUCCUGGGGCUGAAGUAGGUCCCAAGGGUAUGGCUGUUCGCCAUUUAAAGUGGUACGCGAGCUGGGUUUAGAACGUCGUGAGACAGUUCGGUCCCUAUCUGCCGUGGGCGCUGGAGAACUGAGGGGGGCUGCUCCUAGUACGAGAGGACCGGAGUGGACGCAUCACUGGUGUUCGGGUUGUCAUGCCAAUGGCACUGCCCGGUAGCUAAAUGCGGAAGAGAUAAGUGCUGAAAGCAUCUAAGCACGAAACUUGCCCCGAGAUGAGUUCUCCCUGACUCCUUGAGAGUCCUGAAGGAACGUUGAAGACGACGACGUUGAUAGGCCGGGUGUGUAAGCGCAGCGAUGCGUUGAGCUAACCGGUACUAAUGAACCGUGAGGCUUAACCUUACAACGCCGAAG